rnacentral:pre_miRNA from 1 species
CCGCCGUCCGGAAAUACUUGUCAUAAAAAUGGAUAUAAUGGAUGUAUCUAUAACUAAAAUAAGUCGAGAUACAUUCAUCUUUAGGACAAUUAUUUCCGGACGGAGGGAGUAUUAC